AAAAAAAAAAAAAAGAGAUGGAUUACAAUACCAGAAUCGUCGAGCGUCAGAUCGUGGUCAGGCAGGCAAGGUCGGUAACAGGCAGAACAGAAGACCAGGGCAGACAAGACAGGCAGGGAUAAGCCAGGCUCAGAAUCAGCAGUCAAACAGGGUACACGAAACACGGCAGGACAGGAUCAAUGAACUAGAAAAUGACGGUCACACACAAACAACGAUCUGGCAGAGAACUAAGAACACAGGUGGUGGUUAAAUACAAGAAGUGAUUACUGAUUCAAAACAGGUGUGUGUAAUGACCGGGUGAAGCAAGAACAGCUGUGACAUAAACCGGAAGUGAAGCUCGAACUGAAACAGAAACCUGGGAGACUACCAAAAUAAAACCGGAAAUGGAAACUAGAAACCCAACCCAUGAAAAUAUGGCCAAUGAACCAAGUCCUUUUCAAAAUAAAACUGAAACACAGAGCCAGAACCUGACAACUGUGUUGUAGAGCUGACUUAAGGAGACACCUGAUUAUCUUGUAGAAAUGACUUCAAAUAUCCAUUUAAGAAUAUUUGCAUGUGAUGUUUAAUAUUAGGUUCUGUAAAGCAUGCAUUGAAUGAACUACCUACACAACAAACUGUUUGACUCAAUAAUUUUUAUGGCUCACAUAAACACCUUAUAUAUUUGUUUGAGACUGGGUCUAGUGUCUGGUCUAGUAUACUUUCUUACCCUCUUUUGUCCUCCAGUGAGAAUAAGAAGUUUCAGAUUAGGUAGAAAGACACAAUUACCUGAUUGGACAGUUUGGGUAUCAUUAUGUUCUGAAAGUGUUGGUUGGUUGUCAUGUGAGAUAGACACAUAGCAUAAGUCCCCAGGGGUUAAAAGUGCUACUGUGGACGUGGACGGCAAAGCCUGGCAAGCGUCUCAAGGAAGGAAACUCAUUUAAUCAUUUUCAUGUGUUCCAUUGACUUCAAAGAAGUCAGAAAGAGUAGUAUUUAAGAAAAUCCUUCUGUAGGUUUUUGAAGAAAGAAAUGAAGGCAUAUAAACAUGUCUGCAAUUACUAAAUGGCUAAAACCACAGUUUUGUUAAACCCUCUUAAUUAUUGGUAAAACUGGACUUUAUUUACACCUUGAGAGUUUGAACCUUUGUUACUUCAAACCAUACAAGCGUGAAUUAAUUAAUGAAAAUGAAUGAGAUUUGUUUUCCAUUUUCAUAUCUCCAGUUGUACAGUAACACAAUUAUUCCUAAAGAUGGAUAUACACAGAAUCUUAUCAUGACUCAUAGCCACAUACAGUACAUGCAAACAAUACUGUUAAAAUGUACUGUAAACAGUAAGUCUUCUUCUUACACAUGACAUAAAAAACAUGUUUAGAAAAAGCUAUAGAGGCUGCUAUUAGAGAAGAAGACUGAAAGAGAUGCAGACAGAGCAGGUACAGUAAGAGACAAAGGCACUGCAGAAGAUAACAUCUCUUCAGAGUUUAUAGAGACAGUUUAUUUUUCUGAUGUUGGUAUUCUAAGAGUCUAAACUGUCUGUGUAUGUGGCAGGUGACAACCAUGUCUGGAGAACCUACAGUUUUUGCCUAUUGCUUACACUACACUAAAAGCACUUUGUUCAAAACCCAAAUCACCUGUUAUCAUUGGGAAAACACUCAGUUCAAAAAGCAACACUCAUCUCGCAAUUGCAGUCAGUCACACACACACCUGAAAGCACCUGCACAAAAACAGAAGACCAAUCAGUCUGAGCCUCAGCGCUACAAAUAGGCCCCAGGUCACAAGUGCAGAACUAUGCAAACAUGGAGGCAAUGAGAGUCAGAGUGAGGGGAGGAGUCUGACGUGGAAGAGGACGAGGACGUAGGCGAGGACCAGCGUGGAGACGCGUGUCAGAUGAUAUCAGUUACCAGCUAAGGAGUUGUAUAAACUAAAUCUCAAGGAAAUGUUAUACUUGGACCGCCAGAUUGAAAAGACAGAUCCAGAUCCAGUGAGUGUAUAGAUACAGGUGAAUUGUAUGAAUUAUUGGAAGAAUCAUAAAAUCUAACAAUUGCCUUUGUAUUUGUAGGAAAUGAUGAAAACCAAAUAAAUUAUGAUUUGAAUUUA